rnacentral:rRNA from 1 species
AUUGAACGCUGGCGGCAUGCCUUACACAUGCAAGUCGAACGGUAACGGGCCUUCGGGUGCCGACGAGUGGCGAACGGGUGAGUAAUACAACGGAACGUGCCCGAUCGUGGGGGAUAACGAGGCGAAAGCUUUGCUAAUACCGCAUACGAUCUACGGAUGAAAGCAGGGGACCGCAAGGCCUUGCGCGGACGGAGCGGCCGAUGGCAGAUUAGGUAGUUGGUGGGAUAAAAGCUUACCAAGCCGACGAUCUGUAGCUGGUCUGAGAGGAUGAUCAGCCACACUGGAACUGAGACACGGCCCAGACUCCUACGGGAGGCAGCAGUGGGGAAUUUUGGACAAUGGGCGCAAGCCUGAUCCAGCCAUGCCGCGUGCAGGAUGAAGGCCUUCGGGUUGUAAACUGCUUUUGUACGGAACGAAAAGCCUUCUUUUAAUACAGGAGGGUCAUGACGGUACCGUAAGAAUAAGCACCGGCUAACUACGUG